rnacentral:siRNA from 1 species
CUGCUUCUUCUUCUGUUUAUUGUU